CGGGAAGUAGAUAUUACUGACAGCCGUGCCAGCCAAUAAUAUGGAAACGUGAGAAAGGCUCUUCAGGCCCCUUCCCAAUCGGGAAACUUGGAUCACUCACUUGAGGAAGCCAGCUGCCAAUGUCAUGACGACACUCAGGCAGCCUAUGGAGAGGCCUUUGUGGUGAAGAGCUGAGCCCUGCCUACAAAUACAUGAAGUAGAUUUACCAAAUUUCAGAUGAGUGCAAUUCAGCCAACAUCUUGACUGCAACCUCAGGAGAGACCCUGAGUCAGAACCACCCAAGUGUAUGUAAUCAUUAAUAAGGUGAAAUGAAUUAAAGAAGAGACUAUUCCAUUUUCAAACAGGAUCUAAAGUACAGGUCA